AUGAGCGUAGCGGGUUUGAGAGGAUGAUCCGCCACACUGGUACUGAGACACGGACCAGACUCCUACGGGAGGGCAGCAGUGAGGAAUAUUGCACAAUGGGGGAAACCCUGAUGCAGCAACGCCGCGUGGAGGAUGACGCAUUUGCGUGUGUAAACUCCUUUUAUAUGUCAAGAAAAUGACGGUGG
rnacentral:rRNA from 1 species